GUUCCUGUAACGCAAUGGAUAGCGCGUUGGACUUCUAAUCCAAAAAUCGUGGGUUCGAAUCCUACCUGGGAUG
rnacentral:tRNA from 1 species